rnacentral:lncRNA from 1 species
AGAAAUUGUAAGUUGAUCAUAUGUCAAAGGGUAUUCAAUUUAACAACAGACAUGACCUAGAUUGAGAUGAAGGGAAACAAUUCAUAUGGUCAACCCUAAAUAAUCAGAAUUUAAUUACAUACUCAAUUAGUAAACAUUUCAAUAUUCACCUAAUAAAACUGCUCUAUUGAAAAUAUCUGCAUCCUUAAGCCACAUUUAUGAUCUUUACACAAACUAAUUAUACUCAAAUGUACAAGAAAAAAAAAAAAAACUCAUGAAAAGUAAAUGACAAAAUUUCUAUAUGCCCUAUAAAUUUUUUAGAAUAACAUGGUGCAGAUCCAUUUCUAUAACAACAUAAUUCAAAGCCAAUGUUUUAAAAGGUUAUUAAGGCUUAUGCCCUAAGGUAAGCUUCAAGGCAAGGCAUUGUGAAUUAUCCUAGAGGUUCACCUUUAGGCUAUAUCAUUACAACAUGAUAAUUUAGAUCAAAGCCUCACCUUGAUGAGACAUACAAAGGCUAUUGAGGGUUAAGGUUCAAUAUUCAAUGGUUUGGGUCCUUGUGGGCUUUUGUUCUAUAUUGAUAAGAGGUUUAAGUCAAUAUUAAAUGGGUUUUAAAAGGUUUUUCCUUUCGGUAUUUUAUAAGCCUUAGGUCUCAAGUCCCAGGUGUUAAAGGAGGGCUUAACUAGCUUCUAUUCAAUGCUUUAAAGAAAGGAGAGAGAAAGUGCAUGAGAGAGAGAGAGAGAGGAGUUGUUUGUUGUAGUGACUAAGCUCAUGUAUAAUCUUAUCAUCAACAUAGAAACGAAAGAGAUCAUUGCAAUUGAUGAAUGAAGAAGAAAACAUACAAUAACAAUGAUAAGAAGGAUGAUGGAGAAUUAGAGAUGAUGACAAAUUGUUUGCGGAUCCUAUUAGCAAUGGUGAUAAUGGUGCUAAAUACUAUUUGAUGGAGCCAUGACAGAAUUGGACUGUGAAAGAAAAAAAAAUGAGCUAAAUUGUAUGUACUAUUGAAAAUAAAAAAUAAUUAGUGUGUUCGGAAAUUGUUCCUAGAAUAGGUUUUUGUUCUUUGGAACUCAACAAUUUUCUAACUUGAAAAACACAUUUAAUAAACUUUUGACCCACACUAGUUUCUUGAGAAUUUGUUCUAAAAACAAGUUGUUUUUAAACCAAGGGUGUUUUGAAGUGUUUUUUUUCAGUAUUCUGAAAACAAUUAAAAGUAUGGAAAAUACUUUGAGAAUUUUUACAUUAUAUAAAGGUGCACAACAUCUUCACCAAGAGUAAAUUGAAAAAACAGUUUUUCAUACUCGAGUCCCCAAACAGAAUUUUGCUCUUGAAAACAAUUGAACACUAUUCUUAAGAAUUGUUCUAAAGAACUGUUCUCAAAAACUGUUUUUUUGAGAACUAUCUUUGAAAAUGUUGUCAAAUAGACCCUUAAUUUUUUAGAUUUCUUUUUUAACAAGUUUGAGACCAACACUUCAUUCCACCUCAAGCCUUACAUCUAAUCUCAUUUAGAAAAAAAAAAGGCCUCAAGAUCAGAUUUAGCUUUUCAAAACAUUGAUUAGAACUGACAUAGAAUUGGACUCUUUACUCUCCUAUAAUAAACAGUGAGCAUUUUCACAAAAGCAGAAUGGUCAUCAUAUCAGUGUUAUACACACUACUUUGAUGCACCUAGUAUUGAACAAUUUUUAACACUGAUGAUGUCUUAAUGAGAUGAAUGAUACUAUGUUAAAGCUUUUGUAUCAAAUCUACAACCAAAUAUGAUCAACAGCAAUGCCCUCUAAGAGUAUUACACUUCAGCUAUUAGUAAGGGCAACAAGUGAUCAAGUGGAUCAUGAUAUAAGAUUUUUUUUUCCCUUGCAAAUGCACAAGCAUUUUACCAACAGACGAAGACGUGUACCAUCUUUGAUAUGGCACAUAUGUUAUGGCUUAUUCAACCUUGGUAAAAAAUGAGAUCAAGGCAAUUGGAAAUGCAAAAAAUCAUGGUGAAUGGGAUAUCAUGAUUCCAAUAGUGGUAUUACAUUAUUUAAGUAAA